rnacentral:rRNA from 1 species
UACGAAGGGGGCUAGCGUUGCUCGGAAUCACUAGGCGUAAAGGGUGCGUAGGCGGGUCUUUAAGUCAGGGGUGAAAUCCUGGAGCUCAACUCCAGAACUGCCUUUGAUACUGAGGAUCUUGAGUCCGGGAGAGGUGAGUGGAACUGCGAGUGUAGAGGUGAAAUUCGUAGAUAUUCGCAAGAACACCAGUGGCGAAGGCGGCUCACUGGCCCGGUACUGACGCUGAGGCACGAAAGCGUGGGGAGCAAACAGG